rnacentral:rRNA from 1 species
UACGUAGGAGGCAAGCGUUGUCCGGAAUUACUGGGUGUAAAGAGCGUGUAGGCGGCUCGUUAAGUUCCUGGUGAAAGCGCCCGGCUCAACCGGGCAGGGUCCAGGGAAACUGGCGGGCUGGAGGUCGGUAGAGGCGAGUGGAAUUCCCGGUGUAGUGGUGAAAUGCGUAGAGAUCGGGAGGAACACCAGUGGCGAAGGCGGCUCGCUGGGCCGGACCUGACGCUGAGACGCGAAGGCGUGGGGAGCGAACGGG